rnacentral:rRNA from 1 species
GACGAACGCUGGCGGCGUGCCUAAUACAUGCAAGUAGGACGCAGUUGCGAACGGGUGAGUAACGCGUAGGUAACUGCCUAUUAGAGGGGGAUAACUAUUGGAAACGAUAGCUAAUACCGCAUACUAGUAGAUGGACCUGCGUUGUAUUAGCUAGUAGGUAGGGUAAUGGCCUACCUAGGCAACGAUACAUAGCCGACCUGGAGAGGUGGACGGCCAAACUGGGACUGGGAAACGGGCCAGACUCCUACGGGAGGGAGCAGGAGGGAAACAUCGGCAAUGGGGGGAAACCUGAACGAGCAACGCCGCGGGAGUGAAGAAAGUUUUCGGAGCGUAAAGCUCUGUUGGUAAGGAAGCGGUACUUAACCAGAAAGGGACGGCUAACUACGUGCCAGCAGCCGCGGUAAUAC